ACGACAUCAGUAUUGUGGCCCAGGUGGACCAGACCGGCUCCAAGUCCAGUAACCUCCUGGAUCUGAAAAACCCCUUCUUCAGAUAUACGGGCACAACGCCCUCACCCCCACCCGGCUCCCACUACACAUCUCCCUCGGAAAACAUGUGGAACACGGGCAGCACCUACAACCUCAGCAGCGGGAUGGCCGUGGCAGGUGAGCAGGGCCCGCCCCAAUGCCCAGCCAACCCGGGAGGCCGCCCUCGCCGCAGGCCUGGCCCCUCUGCCUCCAGCCCUGACGUCUCGCUCUCUGGACACAGGGAUGCCGACCGCCUAUGACCUGAGCAGUGUUAUUGCCAGUGGCUCCAGCGUGGGCCACAACAACCUGAUUCCUUUAGGGUCCUCCGGCGCCCAGGGCAGCGGUGGUGGCGGCACGAGUGCCCACUAUGCAGUCAACAGCCAGUUCACCAUGGGCGGCCCCGCCAUCUCCAUGGCGUCGCCCAUGUCCAUCCCGACCAACACCAUGCACUACGGGAGCUAGGGGCCCGCCCCGCGGACUGACAGCACCAGGAAACCAAAUGAUGUCCCUGCCCGCCCCCCCGCCGGGCGGCUUUCCCCCUUGUACUGGAGAAGCCCAAACACCCGGUCACAGUCCUCUUUGCUAUGGGAACUGGGACACUUUUUUACACGAUGUUGCCGCCGUCCCCACCCUAACCC
rnacentral:sRNA from 1 species